rnacentral:misc_RNA from 1 species
GGUGAAGAGAUUGGCGGAGAAGGAGGCGGCGGCUUGUUUGAUGAGUUGAGACGUCGUCCGUAUAUUGUUGAUGAUGACGAUACGGGGUUGAUCGGUCAUCGCGAUAGAUUUGAUCUUUUGCUUUCCCUCUCUGUUUUGCGUUUUAGAUGUCUUUGCGAGAAACGAGGGUGGAGUAGCGGAAGAGCCGAUGAGGAGAUGAGCGAGGGAAUAGGUUGGCUUCACGCGAUACUUGCUGCUGUGUUGACCACGCGUUGAAUGAUUUGCAAUCAACAAGGAUG